rnacentral:lncRNA from 1 species
AAAUUAUAUUGCUUCCUUAUUUUACUUUUCAACCAUUACAUUGUAAGGAUUGAAGAUUUAUUUGCAUUUUUGCCCCCAGUUAAAAUACAGAUAUUUGGAAAUGGAUUAAAAUUCCCUUUUAGAAAUGCUUCCUAAAACAGACAGUUAUAUUAAAUGAAGUAAUAAUUUCUCUUUAAGGGAAUGAUAAAUUAUUUAUUUAACACAUAUACCUAAAUGAAGUUAUAACCAAUGAAAACUAGGAUCUGUAUUAGAAAACAUGAUAGAGGUAGAAGAAAGUCACUGUAAUUUCUCUUCUAUAUAAACUACAAUUGUUUUAAUUCUUGGUAUCUAGUUGUUUUGGUAUAUUUCAUAAUUAAUAGAAAAUAAUCCCACCUCCAGGAUAAACUGUAAGCCAUCAUGAAACUAUAUCCACAUGGAUCCACUAGUUUACUGUGUAUUUCCACCAACACUUUUCAUAAAAAUAGAAGUCAAAGUUAUAUUGAUUUUUAAAGAUAAUAUUUUGGGCACUGGAACAAAAGUUUGUACCCAAAUUGCUGCUGUUCAGCCAGAUCCUACAUAAUAUACCAAUAGCUAGAUUAGGAAUGCAGAAGUAAAAUUACUCAUGGCAGUCUAUUACAAGAUCCAAUAUUUCUCACUGGGAACUUUGAUCCACAGGAGGAGGUGAUAAGGUCAUAGUUAUACUAGUACUGCCAGACUGUUUUUCCAGAAUAACCAGAUAGAAGGAAGUAAUCCCAGUAUUAUUUCCCUCUUCUGAAAUCUUGGUUUCCAGUGCUCAACAAAUACAAUGAGCCUCAUUAGUGAAAACCAUAUAUAUUUUCAUUUCCUCUUUCAAACUAUCAACUUCAGUUUUUCCUUUCUAAGUUUUUUCAACCACUGACAUUAAAUUUACUCUUUUGACUUCAUCAUAAUACCCAACCUCAAAAUCAACUCCAGGAUUGCAUUUAUAGUACUUUGUAAAAAACAUAUAGUUUUAGGAAACACAUCUUACAAGUUGUACAAAGGAAUAGUAUUCAUAUUUACUCCAGGAUUCUGUUUUAGUAAAUUAUCAACCCUGUAACCACUAACACUGUCAGUAGGUGGGUGCAUUGUAAUAAAAAACAGAAAACUUCUUCCAUCAUUUGGUUCGUACAUAGUAAUUAUAUGUUCGUCACUGGAAAUCUUUCAGGUACACAUUCUGUGAAAGACAUAAGUCUUCUUCUGCCACUUCAGUUUUCAGUGUAAUUGAUUUUAAUUUGUGAAGCCUUAAAGUAUGUACAGCAUUUCAUAAUGUACAUUUCCAUCUUGAGGUAAAGAGAGGAUGGAAACAAUUUGACUCUCAUAGGUAGUUUUGAGGCUUUGGGAGGGGGUUAGGAUUAGUUAUGAUGAACUUAUGUUUAUCAGGGUGGAAUCUCCAUGGUUGAACCCUGGUAACCUUAUGAAAAGAGAUUGAGACCAGAACUUGCACAUUCCUUCUGCUCUCUCAAGAUUCAGCCAGCCAGAGGGCCAUCACUGGAUGCUGGUUCUCAAUCUUGGACCAGUACUAUGAUCCAAAAUAAACUUAUUUUCUUUAUAACUUUCCCAGUGUUAUUUUAAAUUUCCAUCAACAUUUUUUAAAUGCUCAUGGACUAAAGUCUUGGUUGCCAGUCAGUUGGUGCUAUUGAAAGGUGGUAGAAACACCUUUAGGCAGUGGGGUCUGAUGGAAAAAAAUGGAGUUACUAUAGAUGUGCCCUUGAAGGGCAUAUUGGGUCCCGGGUUCUUCUGUCUCUUUUUGCUUCCUGGAUGCUAUGAGCUGGGCAGUUUUGUUCUACCAUGUGCUCCUUUCUAUGAUGUUCUGCCUCACCACAAGCCCCA